rnacentral:rRNA from 1 species
GUACACGCUGUGACUAGCAUAUCAAUAAGCGGAGGAAAAGAAACUAACAAGGAUUCCCCUAGUAACGGCGAGUGAAGCGGGAGGAGCUCAAAUUUGAAAUCUUAAAGGGUUUCCCUUUACGAAUUGUAGUUUAAAGAAGUGUUUUCUGUUGAGGUUUUGGUAAAAGUUCUUUGGAAUAGGACAUCAUAGAGGGUGAGAAUCCCGUAUUUGACCUUUACUUUCAACUUUGUGAUACACUUUCAAAGAGUCGGAUUGUUUGGGAAUGCAGUCCAAAAUGGGUGGUAAAUUUCAUCUAAAGCUAAAUAUUGGCGAGAGACCGAUAGCGAACAAGUACCGUGAGGGAAAGAUGAAAAGAACUUUGAAAAGAGAGUUAAACAGUACGUGAAAUUGUCAAAAGGGAAGCGUUUGACACCAGUGUUGUUUUUCUGAAAAUCAAUUAAAGAACUGUUUAUGCUAAGCUGUUUAGACUUUAUCAGCUAACUGUUUAGUUUUGAGCUUUUCUUUAAUGCACUUUUCAGUUAACAAGUCAACAUCAAUUUCUUUUGCUGUAAAAAAGCUUGAGGAAGGUGGCUUGAGAUUCGUCUUAAGUGUUUAUAGCCUCUUGCCUAUGCAGUCGGAGAGAUUGAGGUCUGCAGCGUAGAUCCUUCGGGGCUAAAUGCAUUUGUGCAUAAGUUAUAGCAUUUUAUAGACAACUUGUUGACUAUGAUUUGUCUUGUAGCUUACUCGCUUAUGUUAUUUUACCUACGCUUAGGAUGUUGAUAUGCAUGACUGAUAU